CUUGGUAGCACAGAGUCAAAGGCUACUCUUGGCCAGUACGUCUCUUGGAGGAUAAGAAUGUGGAAAUGGAACAGUGACGACCACGGUAGCUUGCUAAGGUUUCCUAGGGCUGAACUUUGACAGGUCGCCAGAAAAGCGAGGACUAAUUGCUGUGUUCCUAAUACAUGUAGAAUCUGAAUGGAAAAUAUCCCAAGGCAACUGGCAUGAAACUGGACUUUCAGAAAUUUCACUUUUUAAAAAUUUAGAUAGAUUUUUUAAAAAUUUCCACCUCCACCAAAGCAGUCUUAAUGUUUACUACACAUUUAUACUUGCAAAAUGCAAGCUCAUAUACUGUAAUGACUCUGUUUUUUGUUGUUGUCAUCUUAUGUAGCAGUCAGAUGAUUCUAGCACAUUGUCAAGAUUCAGAUUUAAAAUUUUAAAUUAAGAAACCUACAAAAGAUAUUAAUUAGUGGAAAUACACCAAUAGUCUUUCAACUUCAGCAAGUAAUUAUGUUUCCAAUUUUGGAGAAAAUAUGUAAUUUUUAAUCUAUAGGAGUUUUAAAAGUUGGAUGGGAGCAUGCAUGCCCUUCUUGCCAACAAAUACAUUUUAACUUAAAGAUGGAAAAUACAGAAUGUUUGGAAAAUUCUUGUGACAGUCACUCUAACGAAGGUAUCAUCCUUGCUUGUUGUUGUCACCAGUGAAUGUAUCGUACAUGAGGUAGAAAGUUGUGACUAAAAACUACCUCUGGUCCACCUACUCUGUUCCAGAGGAAGUAAUACUUCCUUCCCUACUUUGAGGAAGUCAUUCAGUUUUGAUACCAUGCUUUGCAUGUAAAUCUCUCUCUAUUGGAUCCUCAUCCAAGUGGUCAGAGGGAUGCUUGUUUGGUUGUUAAAAGAAAUUUUUGAAAAAUAAGGUAGAGAGCAGAAUUAUUUUAGAUAACAUCUGAAUGCCUGGGAGAGAAAAUAAAGGCACAGUUAUC
rnacentral:lncRNA from 1 species